rnacentral:rRNA from 1 species
GACGAACGCUGGCGGCGUGCUUAACACAUGCAAGUCGAACGAAGAGCGAUGGAAGCUUGCUUCUAUCAAUCUUAGUGGCGAACGGGUGAGUAACGCGUAAUCAACCUGCCCUUCAGAGGGGGACAACAGUUGGAAACGACUGCUAAUACCGCAUACGAUCUAAUCUCGGCAUCGAGGAUAGAUGAAAGGUGGCCUCUACAUGUAAGCUAUCACUGAAGGAGGGGAUUGCGUCUGAUUAGCUAGUUGGAGGGGUAACGGCCCACCAAGGCGAUGAUCAGUAGCCGGUCUGCGAGGAUGAACGGCCACAUUGGGACUGAGACACGGCCCAGACUCCUACGGGAGGCAGCAGUGGGGAAUCUUCCGCAAUGGACGAAAGUCUGACGGAGCAACGCCGCGUGAGUGAUGACGGCCUUCGGGUUGUAAAGCUCUGUUAAUCGGGACGAAAGGCCUUCUUGCGAAUAGUGAGAAGGAUUGACGGUACCGGAAUAGAAAGCCACGGCUAACUACGUG